rnacentral:rRNA from 1 species
CACGUAGGGGGCAAGCGUUGUCCGGAAUCAUUGGGCGUAAAGAGCUCGUAGGCGGCUCGGUAAGUCGGGUGUGAAACCCCCAGGCUCAACCUGGGGACGCCACCCGAUACUGCUGUGGCUAGAGUCCAGUAGGGGAGUGUGGAAUUCCCGGUGUAGCGGUGAAAUGCGCAGAUAUCGGGAGGAACACCAGCGGCGAAGGCGGCACUCUGGGCUGGAACUGACGCUGAGGAGCGAAAAGCGUGGGUAGCGAACAGG